rnacentral:rRNA from 1 species
UACGUAGGCAGCGAGCGUUGUUCGGAGUUACUGGGCGUAAAGGGUGUGUAGGCGGUUGUUUAAGUUUGGUGUGAAAUCUCCCGGCUCAACUGGGAGGGUGCGCCGAAUACUGAAUGACUCGAGUGUGGGAGAGGUGAGUGGAAUUCCUGGUGUAGCGGUGAAAUGCGUAGAUAUCAGGAGGAACACCGGUGGUGUAGACGGCUCACUGGACCGGUACUGACGCUGAGGCGCGAAAGCGUGGGGAGCAAACGGG